AAAUAAGAAGCAAUUAUUGCAUUUAGUUUCGACCUAAAAAUAUGAUUAAAAUUAAUCCUUAUUUU
rnacentral:tRNA from 1 species